CAAAUAUAUCUUACCCAAGUGGCAUAUCAGAUAAGUGAAGUGCAUCUGUUUGUAGUUGGUUUAAUGUCAAUCCACUACCAGAACAAGAAGGCAAGUUUUGACCUUGAAAGUGGGUGGGGAGAAGUUGAAGAGAUUAUUGUGAUUUAAAGUUUUUUUGAUUUAUAAAAGUAAUGUCUUUAUAGCAGCACUAUUUGUAACAGCCUAAAAUUGGAAACAGUUCAGUGUCCAUCUGCAAUACAAUGGACAAAUUUAUGUGUAUUGAUACAAUGAAAUACUAUAUAAACUGAUUAGAGUGAACUAACUACAGCCGCAUGCUACAAUAUAAAUGAAUCUCACAAAUACAAUGUUGAGCAAAUAAAACCAGACAUAAAAGAAUACAUAUUAUAUCAUUCCAUUCAUAUACACACAGGUGUCCACCUCUGUUCAAAAGUAGAGCAUUUCUGUGAAUCCUUUUGUAAGCUGGAAUGGUGAAAAGUGAAGAAGCAAUUACCAUUAGUUUAUAUGGGAAAGCUUUUGAGUGUUCCCAGACCCAAAAAAUAACCUCUCAGACUUUUCUGUUAUUGUACACCACAUCUUGCUAAUGGAUACACAGUAUACAUCGAGAUAAAGCACAGAAGCUUGUAGACAGAGUUUAAAGUUAUGGUGGCUUGAUGCUGAGAUAAGUGUAGUUCCCGGGGAAUGAGGUUGGUAUUGUCACUUGCUACUCAGGGUACCCACUGCCUCUAUAAUGCUGCAAAACAAAUGCUGAAUGGUGUUUUUUCACUUUUCGUUGCCUUUUUAUAAAACCAAAAAAUUGUCUUUGGAUUUCUUUUGGUUAACGAAAGCAGGUACUAUAUAUAGGUCUUUCAUAAAAGUGUGGCAUAAUGUGGACUUUUGAAAAGUGGGAGAUAUCUGUAUAAUUAAAAGAUCAGACAUAGCUAUUGUGACUCUUGGUGUAGGUUCAGAGGAAUGUUUAGUAAAGAAAAGUUAGAAAUUAUUCUCACUUUUGAGAAAGGGAGAUAGGAAAACAAAUUAUAGCAUAAGGUUGUGUGUCUUAAAAGUAUAUACAGAGUAGAAGCACACAAAGAAAAAUGGUUGAUUUCAUACCAUGACAAGGAAUUGAAUGGGGAAUGUAUAGAGUUUCCAGGAAACCUCCAGAAUGGAGUCUAAACCUUCAAGGAUUCCAAGAAGAAUUUCUGUUCAACCCCCCAGCUCUUUAAGUGCUAGGAUGAUGUCUGGAAGCAGAGGAAAUAGUUUAAAUGAUACCUAUCACUCAAGAGAGUCUUCAUUUAGACUGGAUUCUGAAUAUCAGUCUACAUCAGCAUCAGCAUCUGCAUCACCAUUUCAGUCUACGUGGUAUAGUGAAUCUGAGAUAACUCAGGGAGCACGAUCAAGAUCACAAAACCAGCAACGGGAUCAUGAUUCAAAAAGACCUAAACUUUCCUGCACAAACUGUACAUCUACCUCAGUCGGGAGAAAUAUUGGACAUGGUUUAAAUGCAGUAUCAGAUUCUUCAUGGAGACAUAAUCAAGUUCCCAGAUCUUCAUCAAUGGUACUUGGAUCAUUUGGAACUGACUUAAUGAGAGAGAGAAGGGAUUUAGAGAGAAGAGCAGAUUCUUCCAUUAGUAAUCUUAUGGAUUAUAGUCACCGAAGUGGUGAUUUCACAACUUCAUCAUAUGUUCAAGACAGAGUUCCUUCUUCAUAUUCACAGGGAGCAAGACCAAAAGAUAACUCAGUGAGCACUUUACAGUUGAAUACAUCAUCCACAAACCACCAAAUGCCUUCUGAACAUCAGACCAUACCAUGUUCUAGGGACUCUAGUAGAAAUUCUCUAAGAUCAAAUUUUUCUCCAAGAGAAUUGGAAUCUUCCCAAAGCAGUACACAACCUGGAUUUUCUUAUAUUUCAAAUAGAGAUGAAACCUCAAGCAGUUCAGAUAGGGUUGGUUCAUCUCAAAGAUCAUUUCAAGAAUCUUCUGACAACGAAGGUAGACGUUCAACCAGGAGAUUGCUGUCGCGUAUAGCUUCUAGUAUGUCAUCUACCUUUUUUUCACGAAGAUCUAGCCAGGAUUCCUUGAAUACAAGAUCAUUGAGUUCUGAAAAUUCUUAUGUGUCUCCAAGAAUCUUGACAGCUUCACAGUCUCGUAGCAAUGCAGCAUCAACUUCUGAUGUUCCCGAUAAUAGGGCAUCUGAAGCUUCUCAGGGAUUUCGAUUUCUUAGGCGAAGAUGGGGUUUGUCCUCUCUUAGCCAAAAUCAUAGCUCUGAGCCAGAUUCAGAAAAUUUUAACCAAGAACCUGAAGGUAGAAAUACAGGACCAUGGUUAUCUUCCUCACUUAGAAAUAGAUGCACACCUUUGUUCUCUAGAAGGAGACGAGAGGGACGAGAUGAAUCUUCAAGGAUACCUACCUCUGAUACACCACCUAGAUCUCAUCAUAUUUUUAGAAGAGAAUCAAAUGAAGUGGUUCACCUUGAAGCACAGAGUGAUCCCCUUGGGGCUACUGCCAACAGAUCACAAGCAUCUGCAGCUUCAAGUAAUGCUGCUACAGGUGGCUCCACAUCAGAUUCAGCCCACAGUGGAAGAAAUACAGGAAUAACAGGGGUCCUUCCUGGUUCCUUAUUUCGAUUUGCAGUCCCCCCAGCACUUGGAAAUAAUUUGACUGACAAUGUCAUGAUUACUGUAGAUAUUAUUCCUUCAGGUUGGAGUUCAUCUGAUGGAAAAAGUGAUAAAACUAAAAGUGCACCUUCGAGAGACCCAGAAAGACUGCAGAAAAUAAAAGAGAGCCUCCUUUUAGAGGACUCCGAAGAAGAAGAAGGUGACUUAUGUAGAAUUUGUCAGAUGGCAGCUGCAUCAUCAUCUAACUUGCUAAUAGAGCCAUGCAAGUGCACAGGAAGUUUGCAGUAUGUCCACCAAGAAUGUAUGAAAAAGUGGUUACAGGCCAAAAUUAACUCUGGUUCUUCAUUAGAGGCUGUAACCACCUGUGAACUCUGUAAAGAGAAGUUGCAGCUUAACCUGGAGGAUUUUGAUAUUCAUGAACUACAUAGAGCUCAUGCAAAUGAACAAGCUGAGUAUGAGUUUAUCAGCUCUGGUCUCUACCUAGUUGUGUUAUUGCACUUGUGCGAACAAAGCUUUUCUGAUAUGAUGGGAAAUACAAACGAACCAAGCACACGUGUCCGAUUUAUUAACCUUGCAAGAACUCUUCAGGCACAUAUGGAAGAUCUCGAAAGUCCUCAUGGACCUUUAAUAGGCAGCCAGCUCCGCCAGCAGCUCCAAUCUCUUAAGAUCACGUUCCAGCAUUAGGACUUCUGCCUGGGCUCCUAUGUGAAGGCACUUAAUGCCCAAAUUUUACAGGCAUCUGCACAGCUUAACCUCAAAGUCCUACAACCUCCAGGGUGCUUCAUAUCAGCUUCAGAGGAUGAUUCCGAAGAAGAUGGAGACCAUAACAGAACAUUUGAUAUUGCCUAACUUCGUAUAAGACAAGUGGAUGAUCUGUGAACAAGUGUUUAUUAAAACUGGCAAUUAAAUAUGAAUUAAUUUUGUGGGGGAAUGCCUAUUGAAUACAUUGACUAUAUAUAUGUGUGUGUGUGUGUGUGUGUGUGUGUAUAUUCAUUCUCAAGUAUUGCUGAAUUAAAAUUCUGCUGGACCUUUUAACAUGGCCAGUGAAUCUGAUGUUUAUAAACUGGUAAUCAAAAAGUAUUUUUCUUUUAGGUGAGUGGGAAAGUGUUACCCUUGUUUUAGAUAUCUAAGCAAUGCUGAUGACUCUUUUUGUGUUCUGAUUACUGUAGUCAUAUUUAUGAAAAAAGGUUCAUGUUUUAGUCUCUUGCUAGUGAAAAACAUGGGACAAAAUAUGCUUUUGAAAUAAAAAUGGCAAAUGGCACCUAUUUUUCCUUUCAAAAUGCCUUACACGUUGCAGUCACAUUUUCAUAAUCAUUUGCUUCCAGUGUUUCUAAAAAAUCAGCUGGGGAGUAAGUUAUGAAAGCAUAUAUAUUAGGUUUCCAAAUUUAAUAUGAAUUAUAAAUUCACUUAGCAAUAAAAUCUAAUUUUUAAAAAUAUAUAAGUAUAAAAUGUAUAAAUGAUGGAUAAACUUUUAUAUUGAUUUGCAAAAUGCAGAUUAUAUUUGAUAGGCCAUAGUAUGUAGAUAUUCCUUUUAGGAAUAUUACAGCUGUAAAAUAUAUCAGAAUUGCCCAUCAAAUGCUAUUUGGGAAAAAAAUUAUUGCAAUCUCAAGUUAACAAUAUUUUUAAUCCCACAUUUAAAGUUUAAAACACUGGUUUUCAAUGUGUUUUUUAGUGUUGUCACUUCUUUAUAGAUAAAUAUGAUAUAAAUAACCUGUUUGGAUCCUGGUCGUUUUUAACUGUUCCUUGGUAAUUUUGAGCAUUUAUUUAGUGACUUAAUAUUUUUCACGACUUUUGGAGACCAGAUGAACGUUACCUAUUCACCAUGAAUAGAUCUACACUGUGGUCAUGAGUUGUGUAUACUUUCAUAACACUGUAUAUUUCCUCUGUCAACACCCUUAGCAUACACUUUUAAACACCUUCAGGUGGUUUCAGAUUAAAUAAAGUCUUAGGUUACGCCAACGAACUACAUUUUCAGAACCUAAGUAGAAACCAUGUAAUUUCUGAAAUGUGAAUCAACAGUUUGCCCACACGUAGUUUGUUGGUCUUAAUGUAAAAAACUUGGCUGGAAAUAAAGUGCAUACUGAUUGAUUUACUUA